CUUCUUCUUCUUUCAGGGUUAUUGUCUUGUGAAUUCAAAGAAUGAAAUCCAUAGACAAGGAUGAGUGAGUGUAAGGAUUUAUUGAAGAACAGAAGCAGAAACAGAACUCUUGCAAUGGAAGAGGAGACCUGAUAGCAGGUUUUCUCCAUCUGUGUGCACUAGUCUAUGGGUUUAUAAAGCACUGGAAUCACUGCUAUUGAUCCAAACUUAUGCUAUUCUUUUUUUUUUUACAAUACUUUUAUUUAUUUAUUUUUUUUAUGUAGUGCUGAGGAUUGAACUCAGGGCCUUGCAUGUGCUAAGUGAGCACUCUACCACUGAGCCACAACCCCAGCCCCAAACUUACGCUAAUUAAGGUUCGGAAAUGUACUAACUCUUGAGUCCCAACUUCCAUUCAGGUCUGCCUCACUUCUAUUUUCUCACCACAGGUCAGGAAGCAGGAGGUUGAGGUCAUUCAUUGGACAAUCUAUAUUCACAUUUUCUGGGCUGCUGUGCUGUGUGGCUGCAGCUGACAUCUGUUCCGUGUCUAGGCCUGGCUGCUAAAGGGUGACAGGUCUGCACACCCUGGUUUUUAGCACCUCAUGACUGCCACACCUGCAUGAUGGGCUCCAUGUGGCCACAGGCCAUGCGUGCCACCUGUGCUCCAACCCACCCACGCUGCCACUCUGCUACUCUACCGCUCCUCAGAUACUCUUGGGAGGGACCCAUAGACUGGCUGUGUGGCCUGGCAGCCAGGGAGCUGUGUCAGUAUGGAAAAUCAUAGGAAAAAUAAAUGUUUAUGGAUGAGAAAGUAUGUUAUAUGAUAAAGUAAUAUUCUUGUGCUAAAGUCCAAGAUGAAAAAGGACAAAACUAAGGAUAUAAAUAAGUUGUAGAAUGUCUAAGUAGGUUGCAAAAGGUUUGUAGAAGGUAAAUCUCAAGAAGUUCCUGUAUGUGGGCUGGGGUUGUGGUUCAGUGGAAGAGCCCUUGCCUCACAUGUGUGAGGCCCUGGGUUCGAUCCUCAGCACCAUAUAAAAAUAAAUAAAUAAUGUAAAGGUGUUGUGUCCAUCUACAACUAAAUCAUCAUCAUCAUCAUCAUCAUCAUCAUCAUCAUCAUCAAACGUUCCUGUAUGUGAUUCAAGUUGGCUAUAAUCAGCAGGAAAUUAUUCAAGGUUUUUUGUAAGGUUAACUUUUAAUAUGCUAAUUCUCUAUGUUUAGAAAUAACAAGGUCUCCUUAAAAUGUUGAUUUGCUCUUUAUGUAAUAGAGGUCCAUUUUUAAAAGUAAACUUUGCUGCCUGGCCACUGUGGCUUAUUUCAAAACUGACACUUUUUCCCCCUUUCUCUUCUCCCUCUCCACCUCCCUAACUUGAGAGAGAGAAAGCAAAACAGAACAGCCUGAAUUAAGAUAAUAAGGCUUCAUCUACAGGAUGCUGAAUGUGCAAAAUCACAACAUAUUCACACUAAGGCACAUUAUAAUAAAAAUGUCCAACAUAACAGAAAAAGGAGAGAAUUUAAAAAGCCACAAGAGAAAGGAAUCAGAUUACACAUAG
rnacentral:lncRNA from 1 species